GAAACCAGUUGCGGUUUUAGUUCUUAUACUCAAUCAUACACAUGACAUCUAGUCAUAUUUGAGUCCAAAAUACUAACCAAGCUUCUUAUUGCUUUUCCAAGCUUUGAUGGUGUAGCCGAAGUCCGUAUGAGUCUUUGGCUUUGUAUCUUCUAACAAGGAAGCAUUACUUUAGCUUUUCGGAACCGGUUGCGGUUCUAGUUUUUAUACUCAAUCAUACACUUGACAUC
rnacentral:sRNA from 1 species